rnacentral:rRNA from 1 species
AACGAACGCUGGCGGCGUGCCUAACACAUGCAAGUCGAACGAGAAAGGGGCUUCGGCUCCGAGUAAAGUGGCGCACGGGUGAGUAACACGUGGGUAACCUGCCUCUAAGAUUGGGAUAACUCGUCGAAAGAUGAGCUAAUACCGAAUAAGACCACAGUUCCCGCGGGAACAGGGGUCAAAGGUAGCCUCUGCUUGCAAGCUAUCACUUAGAGAUGGGCCUGCGCACCAUUAGCUAGUUGGUAGGGGAACGGCCUACCAAGGCAAAGAUGGUUAGCUGGUCUGAGAGGAUGAUCAGCCACACUGGAACUGAGACACGGUCCAGACUCCUACGGGAGGCAGCAGUGGGGAAUAUUGCGCAAUGGGCGAAAGCUUGACGCAGCAACGCCGCGUGAGUGAUGAAGGCCUUCGGGUCGUAAAGCUCUGUCGGGAGGAACGAAUGCUCCUGAGGUUAACAGCCUCGGGAGGUGACGGUACCUUCAAAGGAAGCACCGGCUAACUCUGUG